rnacentral:rRNA from 1 species
UGUAUUGUCACCAGCCAUAUCACCUGCAGUUCAGGCCAAGUAAUUCCUCUGAGGUUAAGCGGGUUUGGGCCUGGCCAGUACUUGGGUGGGAGACCUACUAGGGAAGCUGGGUUGCCACUGCAG